rnacentral:snoRNA from 1 species
GAAAGAUGAUGUUUACUAUAUUUGCUACUUCAGACGGGGCUUAAGCUCUGAAUGAGACAUUCUUUAUCACCAAGAUCUCUGAUUUU